CUCCUACGGGAGGCAGCAGUGGGGAAUAUUGGUCAAUGGGCGAAAGCCUGAACCAGCAAUGCCGCGUGAGUGAUGAAGGCCUUCGGGUUGUAAAGCUCUGUCAGUGGGAACGAAUAAGCCGAUUAAUACUCGGUGGUGACGGUACCCACAAAGGAAGCACCGGCUAACUCUGUGCCAGCAGCCGCGGUAAUACAGAGGGUGCAAGCGUUGUUCGGAAUUACUGGGCGUAAAGCGCGUGUAGGCGGUUUAAUAAGUCGGUCGUGAAAGCCUUUGGCUUAACCAAGGAACUGCGAUCGAAACUAUUAGACUAGAGUAUCGGAGGGGAUGGCGGAAUUCCCGGUGUAGCGGUGAAAUGCGUAGAGAUC
rnacentral:rRNA from 1 species